UNGUAUAAGCCUCUUCCCUAACACCAAAGU
rnacentral:piRNA from 1 species